UUUUCAGUGUUCUUCUUCUUCUUCCACUUUGUUUUUUUUUUCUUCUUCUUCUACUUUUGUUUCUUUUUUGUUUUCCCCUCUAUUUUGUUAUUAACAAGAAUGGCAUAUUCAUCUAAUUACUAUUAGAUCUUGAUUUUGAUGUUACAUUAUGGUUAUGAAAUAUGAAGUACUAUGAUUACCCCUUUAUUUUUGCUAUUUUUUUUAGUAUUUUACUGUUGUAUUUUAUGUUUAAUACCGUUUUUUGGUCUUCACAAUAACGGUCAUCCUACAAUCCCGCUAUCCCAUUUUCGAAGUUGGAUGCUUCACGCCACUAUCUUUGACUGACGACACAGGUUCUUCCUAAAUAAGAGUAUACAUUUCUUUUCGUAUAGGGAAUAGUUAAGGGUGCCAUAAAUUUUGACAAUAACACUAAUUAUCAUAAAUGAAAAUGUAAAUGAGAAUGUUGAAGAAUGCUUGAGAAAAAUAAAGAUUUUUGGUGAAUGGAUCAAGCAAUUAAAAUUCAAUUGCCAAUAGUUCUUCAGUUAGUUUUCUCUGUUAAUGAGGUUGACGUGUACGAGGAACUAAUUUGCUUGAUUUCUUAUCUAAUUUUUGAAAUAAGAGGAACUAUUUUGCUUGAUUUUGAAAAUGAAAUUGAAACUCAGUUUUUUGUUAAAAAAAUCGACUUUGUUAUCCUUGCAAUAGUAACAUCUACAUCUAUAUAAUUCAUUCUUGUUCUUAAUUCAUGAUUUUAUAUAUUCUUAUUCCAAGAACUUUCAUUUAUAUAAUCAAUUAUUCGUCCUCUUUUAUGGUGUUCAAAUUGUAGAAAAUAAAAGAAUCAAAAACCAUUUAUUAUUGUUCCUCGAUAGGUUAAAGCUUGAACUCGGUGAUUCUUAAAUGUUAUUGGAAAAAAAAAGUUGUUAAAAUAACUACAACUUAAAAGCACUUUGAAAGAUAAGUUUUUUGAUGCCCUUGAAAGCUCUCUUGAGUAUUUGUUUUUCCUAUUUUUAGUUUAAUAACAUAUGAUUUCUUAACUUAUGAAAUAUAGGACUUUAAAGAGAGAGAAUAACGACUUACAUUUAACAAAAAGGAAUAUUUUACAAAUGAAUUAAUUUAUGGAUAUUUAAGAAAGAAAUUAAAUUAUUUAAUAGAGCUAAUAUAUAAAUCAAUAUAUCAAAGAAAACACAAGGUAUAGUGUAGUAUUUCAUUUUAUGUUUAUCUUCAUGCAUUUUUAAAUAAUUAUGUUAUUAUUUUUUUACUAAAUUAUUCUUUGUUAAAUGAUUGUUAGAAAUUAAAUUCCUCUCCAAUUCUAUCUAUUGUUUCAAUUAAGGUAUUGCCUUCUUCUAACACCAAAAUUUCUAUAAUAGAUUUUCUAUAUUCUUUUUAUUUCCAAUUUCAUUUUCUACUAUUUUUGGGUUUAAUUUUUGAACCUUUUGUAAUAUUCAAAAUACAAACUUACAUAACUUGUGCCACUAAAAAAUCUUAUAUAUUUUGUGGUUGGUUCAUUAUAUAGUCGCUUUUAUAAAACAAGAAAUAAAUUGUCAUUAUUAUUUAAAAAAUGUUGGUUUACCUUUUUUUUUUCUUCUUCUUUUUACCCAAAAUGCAGUUUUAUCUAAGGCUUGUGUUCAUAAAUUCUAUUAUCUAUUGAAAAAGAUAAAAUAUUUGAUAAAACAUUCUAAAUGUUUUUUUUAAGGAUAAAAAUUGAUCAUGCAAGUAUAUGUGAGAUAUUUUUAAAUCACUCGAAAAUAUGUGUAUGUAUAAAUGUUUUUUAUUGACAUGACGAAGUUGUUGGUUUAGUAGUUGUGCGCCUCUUGUUUAAGUCUAAGGUCUUGAUAACUCUUCAUCAUAUGCAUAUAAAUUAAGGAUUUAUUUGAUAUAUUUUGUUGAUUUUUAUUCUUUGAGUUAAUAAAAUGUUUUUUGUUUUUAUUUCGUUGAUUAAGUAGGAAUUUGUCGUAAUUUUUACAUUGCGUUUUGUUUUAGUGCAGUGCUGAAUUUUGGUGAAAAAUCAACAUGACAUAUGUGGAGUAUUUCAGCCAUAUCUGGAGUUCUAGAUGUCCAAUUAGUGUCACUCCAAGUGCUAAUGAAAGAUAAGAUCCAUAUCUACAACUUUCAUGAAGACACCGGGACCAAAUUCAGACUCAAAAGAUGAGCAAAAUGCAAAAUACAUCAGACAUCAUAUGAAAUGCGCCUGGAGCGCGUCCUGGAGCGCUUGGAGCACAUUUCGCAGGAUUGGACUCUACCAACGCGCGCCUGGAGCGCGUUUUUCCGCGCCUGGAGCACAUUUCGCAGAUUUUUACUGUUUUAGGGAUCUUUUUGACUCUGGGGAACUUGGGAGACUUGUGCCCUAGCAUAGAAACUCAAAGACGGCCGUUUCUAACGCCAUUGAAGCAGUUUUAUCAAGAAUC
rnacentral:lncRNA from 1 species